rnacentral:rRNA from 1 species
UACGAAGGGGGCUAGCGUUGCUCGGAAUCACUGGGCGUAAAGGGCGCGUAGGCGGCCAUUCAAGUCAGGGGUGAAAUCCUGGAGCUCAACUCCAGAACUGCCUUUGAUACUGAAGAUCUUGAGUUCGGGAGAGGUGAGUGGAACUGCGAGUGUAGAGGUGAAAUUCGUAGAUAUUCGCAAGAACACCAGUGGCGAAGGCGGCUCACUGGCCCGAUACUGACGCUGAGGCACGAAAGCGUGGGGAGCAAACAGGG